rnacentral:rRNA from 1 species
AUUGAACGCUGGCGGCAGGCUUAACACUUGCAAGUCGAGCGGGGGAAGGUAGCUUGCUACCGGACCUAGCGGCGGACGGGUGAGUAAUGCUUAGGAAUCUGCCUAUUAGUGGGGGACAACAUCUCGAAAGGGAUGCUAAUACCGCAUCCGUCCUACGGGAGAAAGCAGGGGAUUUUCGGACCUUGCGCUAAUAGAUGAGCCUAAGUCGGAUUAGCUAGUUGGUGGGGUAAAGGCCUACCAAGGCGACGAUCUGUAGCGGGUCUGAGAGGAUGAUCCGCCACACUGGGACUGCGACACGGCCCAGACUCCUACGGGAGGCAGCAGUGGGGAAUAUUGGACAAUGGGGGGAACCCUGAUCCAGCCAUGCCGCGUGUGUGAAGAAGGCCUUAUGGUUGUAAAGCACUUUAAGCGGGGAGGAGGCUACUCUAGUUAAUACCUAGGGAUAGUGGACGUUACUCGCAGAAUAAGCACCGGCUAACUCUGUGCCAGCAGCCGCGGUAA